UACGUAGGGUGCAAGCGUUAAUCGGAAUUACUGGGCGUAAAGCGUGCGCAGGCGGUUCGGAAAGAGAGGUGUGAAAUCCCAGGGCUUAACCUUGGAACUGCACUUUUAACUACCGGGCUAGAGUACGUCAGAGGGGGGUAGAAUUCCACGUGUAGCAGUGAAAUGCGUAGAGAUGUGGAGGAAUACCGAUGGCGAAGGCAGCCCCCUGGGAUGAUACUGACGCUCAUGCAUGAAAGCGUGGGGAGCAAACAGG
rnacentral:rRNA from 1 species